UAUGUGAUCGUCUCUCGCAUAUCAAUAAGCGGAGGAAAAGAAACUAACAAGGAUUCCCCUAGUAACGGCGAGUGAAGCGGGAAGAGCUCAAAUUUGAAAUCUUAAAGGGUUUCCCUUUACGAAUUGUAGUUUAAAGAAGUGUUUUCUGUUGAGGUUUUGGUAAAAGUUCUUUGGAAUAGGACAUCAUAGAGGGUGAGAAUCCCGUAUUUGACCUUUACUUUCAACUUUGUGAUACACUUUCAAAGAGUCGGAUUGUUUGGGAAUGCAGUCCAAAAUGGGUGGUAAAUUUCAUCUAAAGCUAAAUAUUGGCGAGAGACCGAUAGCGAACAAGUACCGUGAGGGAAAGAUGAAAAGAACUUUGAAAAGAGAGUUAAACAGUACGUGAAAUUGUCAAAAGGGAAGCGUUUGACACCAGUGUUGUUUUUCUGAAAAUCAAUUAAAGAACUGUUUAUGCUAAGCUUGUUUAGACUUUAUCAGCUAAUCUGUUUAGUUUUGAGCUUUUCUUUAAUGCACUUUUCAGUUAACAAGUCAACAUCAAUUUCUUUUGCUGUAAAAAAGCUUGAGGAAGGUGGCUUGAGAUUCGUCUUAAGGUGUUUAUAGCCUCUUGCCUAUGCAGUCGGAGAGAUUGAGGUCUGCAGCGUAGAUCCUUCGGGGCUAAAUGCAUUUGUGCUAAGUUAUAGGCAUUUUAUAGACAACUUGUUGACUAUGAUUUGUCUUGUAGCUUACUCGCUUAUGUUAUUUUACCUACGCUUAGGAUGUUGAAGACUCUACAGAGAUA
rnacentral:rRNA from 1 species